ACAAAUUGACAAACAGUCCUAUUUAAAAUAAGCCAAGCAUAGUUGAAUUAAAAAUGUAAAAUAUGAAAGAUAAGAGAAUAUUUUUCAAGUCUAUUAUAUUUUUAGAAUUUGACAGUUUAGAGUUUUGCUCGUGUUUCAUAUUAUAGCGCUACUAAUUGAAGCAAUUUUCUUCAUAUUAACACUCAAGGAUGAUGAAGAUAAAGCACUUAUAUGUUAGUUAUGCCAAUAAUUAAUUUGUUAGUUGCACUUUUCCAUUAUAUUUCUUCUGAUUUUAUGUAUAAAUAAAUUUUUUUAUAAUUUUUUGGCCUUGAAUAUAACACUAAAAACCAC
rnacentral:lncRNA from 1 species